GACGUAGGGGCCAGCGUUGCUCGGAAUUACUGGGCGUAAAGGGUUCGUAGGCGGUGUGGCAAGUCGGUAGUGAAAUCUCCAGGCUUAACUUGGAGGCUGCUGCCGAAACUGCCGUGCUAGAGUGCAGGAGAGGCGAGUGGAAUUACAGGUGUAGCGGUGAAAUGCGUAGAUAUCUGUAGGAACACCCGUGGCGAAGGCGGCUCGCUGGACUGCAACUGACGCUGGGGAACGAAAGCUAGGGAGCAAACAGGG
rnacentral:rRNA from 1 species